CAAUAAAUAUUUUCUGGAUCAAAGAUUGUUUUAGCUUUGAAUUAGGCACGUAGCAUCCUUUUUGAAAGCGGGGGCCAAACUCAUCCAAAAAAUCAGGACAAGGAAAGAAAAAAAAGAUAAAAAACGACAACGCCCCCCCCCCCCAUGCUACGUGCCUUUGACUUAGAAUUUUAGAUACUAUAGCCUGUCCUAAAUUUAUUUAUAGUUUCCGUCACAUUUGGCUUACAUUUGGACGAUUUCAAAUAAAAAUACAUGGACACACAUCUGUGAAAUUCAUUCAUGAGUUCUACUUUCUUUAAAAAAAAAAGAAAAAAGUCUACACAUAGCUGUGCUUGAAAAUGUAUAUAUACUAAUUCUUUAAUGUUGAAUUUAUAUAUGGAUUUUACUCAUUUGUAUUCUUUAAUUUUGCCAAUUAAUUCAAUUGCGUUCAUUAAAAACAUGUAUUGAGGC
rnacentral:misc_RNA from 1 species